rnacentral:lncRNA from 1 species
GAUGGUUAGCUGCAAGGCGGAGCGGAACACAUACGUGUCCUUCACGCUCGACGACGGCACCGACUGCAUCGAUUUCAUCAGAUGGUGAGUGAAGAGCACCGACGGCCCCGACGAUGUUGGCUAUUAGUACGACAGUGCAAGAAAUCUAGUAAUAUGGGAAUAAACCCACAGAUUCUUAACCAUCUCUGAUUAGUUCAGUAAUUGAGUUCCAGAUGUGUUUUAGGAUACAAGUUGCGCGUGAUUGAGACAGGUUUUCCAAUUAAAUGUUGCGCAAGAUUCAUCUCUCUUUCCAUCCCUUUGUCUUGCCUUUGGUCUUCCUACGUCCAGGGGAAUGGCUUGCUUGCUGUUCACUUCGUACAUAAUACUUGUUCUUCCCAGAAUACUGUCAGACACCAUACUCCAUCUUAUUUAUUGAUGAUUUUUAGGGGUUCCCAUGCUUGUUUAUUCUGGAUUUCUCUGUCAGAACUGCUUGUGUGUCCAUCUGCGACAAUGCUGCCGGUCAGUUUGUCUAUUUCUUGCCUUCCUUGCUCCCUAGUGCUGUUCAUUAUACUGUCUCUUAGGAACCUCAAUUACUUAUUUCUGUCUACUGUGAGGUAUUUGUUCAGUUUCAAUCUGAAUCGCCUAACUUGGAGUGACAAUCUGCAUUGAGCUGGUAUAUCUCGAAUGUAUGCAACAAUAUUUAACUACUAGAUGUAAAUGUAAAAAAUGUUGAUAUAACUUCAAACAUUUUAAUUUUGGAAGACAAUGAUUACCCCAAUGCAAUUGGAGUUCAGUCAGUGUUUACUAUUGCUCACUUGUUAUACAGUGUACUGUCUAUCUAUGUUAGAACACUUGUUGGUUCUUUUAGGAAUGGUAAAUCUCACCAUGGACUCAUUGUUUGGGCAACAAAAAACACUUGUGUUUAUUAUUAGUAAUCUUAUGCCAAUUGACAAUUAUUACUGAGCAAACAGAAGUGAUGGCCGCAUUGUGAAGAGCACCUUAUAUAUGCGUCAGGUUUGGUAACCUGUGAAUGUUCAGACGGUUGUGCUGGUGUAUCCACUUCAGAUUUUUAUUAAAACCUGAAGUAAUAUUGCAUUUCUUUAAUGUCGUCAAUACUUUCAUGUAGUCUGGAACAUGAUGAGUCACUAUUGCGCGUGUUUCAGUAUGCCAAAGCUAAAAACAUGUGUGGCACAUCUUGUGAAAACUAUCUUACUUUUGGUUGUGUCGUGUGUGCUAUCUCUGCACCUGCACUUGCAUGCUAUUGGACAGCUUAAUCUUAUGCUAAUAACUAUGCAUUUAUUACUAUAUGACAUGUAAAGUUAAUUUAAGAUGACCGAUCAUUUGGCUAGCUCCACACAUGUUACAGUGUUAUACUCUGUCACCUAGCUAGCUUGUCAUAUCAGGGUAAAUAUUUUGGUUUGGCAUGGCUAUCAUAAGCAGAUGAUGCUUUUGUAAUCCUUUUUCUUUUCUAUUGGUGGCGUGUCUAACAUUGCCAAUACCAUGAUGUGGUCUAUGUUCAUUCACAGUUCACCAUGAUGGCAGGGUGCGGCAACGCGCUCCUUCAGGUUCUAGUAUGUUCGUAAUUUACCAAUGUAAAUGCUGAAAUCUAUUAAUUUAGUCUACCAUCGUUGUCUCAUAGGUCCUGAACAUGCUUAACUGGGAACUUAACUGGGAAGCUCAGAAUGCUAAUUCAUGUCAAUUGUAAACUAGCAUCCCUUUGUGAUUUAUGAACUUUGAGGUAUGAACUCUGUACUUUUUUCGACAGAGAUAAUUGUGUGCCUUGUAUCUCAUCUCAUAUGGAAGUGUGGGCGGAGAUAAUUAUGUACCUUUUAUGCCAUGAAGGCUAAUCAGUAAAUGGGAAUAUCCAUGCUUUUUUUCUUCCAACAUAUUUUACUGUUCUUCACAAUUCCUAGGUGUGGUUAAUCUAGGUGUGAAGGUUUGGUCUGAAAGCAUUAGACUAAAUUUGAACCAUUAGGUUCAUCUUUGUUCUAAGGAACGUGCUACGUGUUGGUCGGCAGAUCUUUUAAAAAGAUCCAUCGAGUAGCGAUCUGUCAGAUCUUUUUUUUUGUAACAUAGGUCUUCUUGCAUAAUUUUUUUUGCAGUAGAGGUCUUGUUGCAGAAAAAAAUUGUGUCUCCCUUUUUUGCGACAUAGGUUUUGUUGGGGAAGGGACUUUUGCAACACAAGUGAUGUUGCAAAAAAAAUCACAACAAAGAUGUAGUUAGAAUAGUGUGGUGUGCGAGCCACACAUGGGAGACGCGUCAUGUGCCGGAGGCGACGGACGCCUGUGUUGGAUCAAUAGGCUGUUCCCAAGCUUUUCCCUUGUUCUAAAGUGGUUAACUGAAGUUCUCUCAUGCUCGUGAAAGAAUUCUACUGUUAAAAUAAUGAGAUCACUAGGUGGAUCAUUUAAUUGCCUAAAAUGGUUUUGCUUUUAAGUGUUUUUUAUUUUACAUGAAAAAAGCAAGUUUGAUAGGAAUUAACUUUAAUUGGUGAAGAAAUUAUGCCUCCAGUAUUACUUUUUCUGGUUUUCUAACUAGAAACUACAGUACAUUGUAUUGUAUGAACCAUCCUGUAGUGUAUGAACCAUACUGUAUUGUAUGAACCAUCUGUCUUGAUAGACCAAGCCCUAUCAGUGUAUAUAAACUUGAUUUUUUGUGGUACUUGAUGAAUAAGAAAUGAUGUCUCCAUCCUUUGCUUAAAAAUUGCUUGGAAAAGCAACUAUAUCAUUACUCUCUAGAUUCAUUUGGGGGCUGGCUGUUAUUACUUACUAUAAUUUUGUAUAUGUUUUGGAUUCUAUGCAGGUUGGCACUCAGCUGGAGAUUGAAGUUUUUAGCAGGAAUUACUUGGCCUCGAAUAACUACCUGGAAGCAUUAGUGGUGUAGUGUUGGAGAUUAAAUCCAGCUAGUAGUAUAUUUACUCGAAAUUUUUAAAAAUAAUGCUUAUAGUUCUUUCUAAAUAUGUAUGUGAUGUUUUGAUACAAAUAUUUGUUUUCGGAAAUCAGUCUAGAUUGUUGGAAGUUUGUAUUUUCUUACGACCAGAUGCUAUUGUGUGAAUGAAUUUGUCUUGUUGCAAAUUGGGUCGCAUGAAAAAUCACGCUGGACAAAAAAUGGGCUAAUGGUUGGACAAAAAGAAUAGGUAUUCUAAUGAAUAGAACUGAAGUAAGUGGCUAAUGGGUUGGACUGGACCAAAAUUAUUGGGCUAAAACCUUAAUUGGGCUGGUUACUACAUGGGCCAUGUUGGCUGCCACGUCAGAUCCACGUAGACGCCACCUCAGGUCCAUGCUGCUACCAGGUCAUGUACAUCUGUG